rnacentral:rRNA from 1 species
AACGCGAAGAACCUUACCUACUCUUGACAUCCAGAGAACUUUCCAGAGAUGGAUUGGUGCCUUCGGGAACUCUGAGACAGGUGCUGCAUGGCUGUCGUCAGCUCGUGUUGUGAAAUGUUGGGUUAAGUCCCGCAACGAGCGCAACCCUUAUCCUUUGUUGCCAGCGGUUCGGCCGGGAACUCAAAGGAGACUGCCAGUGAUAAACUGGAGGAAGGUGGGGAUGACGUCAAGUCAUCAUGGCCCUUACGAGUAGGGCUAUACACGUGCUACAAUGGCGUAUACAAAGAGAAGCGACCUCGCGAGAGCAAGCGGACCUCAUAAAGUACGUCGUAGUCCGGAUUGGAGUCUGCAACUCGACUCCAUGAAGUCGGAAUCGCUAGUAAUCGUAGAUCAGAAUGCUACGGUGAAUACGUUCCCGGGCCUUGUACACACCG